CGGAUUCUUCUUCUCCAGAGUCUUCAUCUUCGCGGGCAAUCAGUGCUCCCUGAUGCAUUCAGCUGAGCAUCUCUGCUUUCCCUCUCCCCCUCUUCAUCUUUUUCGGCUUUCCCUCUGCUGAAAUAGGUUUUUUGUUGUUGUAGGAAAUCUAAGCUCUUUCGAUUUGUCAUCGACGGGAAUCGUAGGAGGGUGCUACUGUGAAGUUCAUGAAGCGCAAAGGGAGAGGCACUGGUGUGAAAAAGCAGGAGACCUUUCAAUCAUCUCAAGAAGACUUCAGAUCAGCUUUUCUUUAUGGUUUUGCGUGGAAAGUGAUCAAAGUUUCCACAACAAGUUGCACCAAUAGUUGUCGGGAAGGAAUAUAAUUGUAAGAUGCAGAUUUCCGCUAAGGUAAUAAAGAGAGUUGCGAGUGGAGUUAAUUUUAAUGCUCAUUGGAAAAGAAGGAAGAUUUCACAUUGUGAUGUUGGUAUAGGCACAAAUGAGGCAGAGGUUUUUUUUUUUUUUUGGGGCAGAUGGCUAAUGUCAUCUGCCGGUUUUGGACUGUUUCUGUUCAGUAUUUAUUUGGAAUUUACCUCUUAGAAUAUGAACUUUCAAACUUUCAAAGGAGGAAUUCACUAUUGUAAUAUUUUGGAUAUAGCUUAUAAUACAGCA